rnacentral:rRNA from 1 species
GAGGAAAAGAAACCAACUGGGAUUACCUUAGUAACGGCGAGUGAAGCGGUAAAAGCUCAAAUUUGAAAUCUGGUACUUUCAGUGCCCGAGUUGUAAUUUGUAGAAUUUGUCUUUGAUUAGGUCCUUGUCUAUGUUCCUUGGAACAGGACGUCAUAGAGGGUGAGAAUCCCGUUUGGCGAGGAUACCUUUUCUCUGUAAGACUUUUUCGAAGAGUCGAGUUGUUUGGGAAUGCAGCUCAAAGUGGGUGGUAAAUUCCAUCUAAAGCUAAAUAUUGGCGAGAGACCGAUAGCGAACAAGUACAGUGAUGGAAAGAUGAAAAGAACUUUGAAAAGAGAGUGAAAAAGUACGUGAAAUUGUUGAAAGGGAAGGGCAUUUGAUCAGACAUGGUGUUUUUUGCAUGCACUCGCCUCUUGUGGGCUUGGGCCUCUCAAAAAUUUCACUGGGCCAACAUCAAUUCUGGCAGUAGGAUAAAUCAUUAAGAAUGUAGCUACCUCGGUAGUGUUAUAGCUUAUUGGAAUACUGCUAGCUGGGAUUGAGGACUGCGCUUCGGCAAGGAUGUGCGACAGGAUCG